rnacentral:rRNA from 1 species
UAUCCUACGGGGGGCAGCAGUGAGGAAUAUUGGUCAAUGGGCGGGAGCCUGAACCAGCCAAGUCGCGUGAGGGACGACGGUCCUAUGGAUUGUAAACCUCUUUUGUCGGGGAACAAAGGCGGUGACGCGUCUCCGGCUGAGUGUACCCGAAGAAAAAGCAUCGGCUAACUCCGUGCCAGCAGCCGCGGUAAUACGGAGGAUGCGAGCGUUAUCCGGCUUUAUUGGGUUUAAAGGGUGCGCAGGCGGGAGGUCCAGUCAGCGGUGAAAUAUCCGGGGU